GACGAACGCUGGCGGCGUGCCUAAUACAUGCAAGUAGAACGCAGUUGCUAACGGGUGAGUACCGCGUAGGUAACUGCCUCAUAGCGGGGGUUAACUAUUGGGAACGAUAGCUAAUACCGCAUACUGUGAUAUGGACCUACGUUGUAUGAGCUGGUUGGUGAGGUAAAGGCUCACCAAGGCGACGAUACAUAGCCGACAUGAGAGGGUGAGAGGACAAACUGGGACUGAGAUAAGGCCGAGAAUCAUACGGGAGGCAGCAGUAGGGAAGCUUAGGAAAUGGACGGAAGUCUGACCGAGCAAUGCCGCGUGAGUGAAGAAGGUGUUCUGAUCGUGAAGCUCUGUUGUUAGAGAAGCGGUAUCUAACUAGAAAGGGACGGCUAACUACGUGCCAGCAGCCGCGGUAAUUC
rnacentral:rRNA from 1 species